GAUGAACGCUGGCGGCGUGCCUAAUACAUGCAAGUCGAGCGAACAGACGAGGAGCUUGCUCCUCUGACGUUAGCGGCGGACGGGUGAGUAACACGUGGAUAACCUACCUAUAAGACUGGGAUAACUUCGGGAAACCGGAGCUAAUACCGGAUAAUAUAUUGAACCGCAUGGUUCAAUAGUGAAAGACGGUUUUGCUGUCACUUAUAGAUGGAUCCGCGCCGCAUUAGCUAGUUGGUAAGGUAACGGCUUACCAAGGCAACGACGCGUAGCCGACCUGAGAGGGGGAUGGGCCACACUGGAACUGAGACACGGUCCAGACUCCUACGGGAGGCAGAAGUAGGGAAGCUUCCGCAAUGGGCGAAAGCCUGACGGAGCAACGCCGCGUGAGUGAUGAAGGUCUUCGGAUCGUAAAACGCUGUUAUUAGGGAAGAACAAAUGUGUAAGUAACUAUGCACGUCUUGACGGUACCUAAUCAGAAAACCACGGCUAACUACGU
rnacentral:rRNA from 1 species